CUGGUGUCUGAGAGCUUAGAGUUUAUAAAAGAUCUAUAUGAAAGGGUUAAUCAGAUAUACAGGCUUUUUGGAAUACUGAUGUGAGUGUAGAGGCCAGAAAAAUGAAGCUAGGUGGUAUUGGAGGAGAAUCUCUGAAGACUGCUCUCAGUAGGCUGACAACAAGUUAAGAUGAAUGUGUAACUGUUUUCUACAUUCUUCUUACUGCUAUAAAAAUAAUU
rnacentral:lncRNA from 1 species